AAUAAACGAAUUUCUGUGUUUUUUGAUUGAAUUAUCGUCUUAUUUGAAAUUUUUUUAUAAUUAAUAUUUUUAUUGUUAUUACAUGAUAAAACAUGAAUAGUAUUUUUACGUGUACUAAUUUUUUCAAACUUUUAAUAAAUUUUUCAAAUAAGACGGAUGGUCAAACGCUCGAACUAGAAAACCCAU
rnacentral:pre_miRNA from 1 species